GAGGGUAUAGCUCAGUGGUAGAGUGUGUGCUUAGCAUGCAUGAGGUCCUGGGUUCAAUCCCCAAUGCCUCCA
rnacentral:tRNA from 1 species